GAUAUUUUGAAAUUACAAACAAAAAUAGACAAUACAUUUUUCAAAACAUUUAAAAGUUAUUAAUGAUGUAAAAUUAGAAAGUAGCUUUAUGUUAUCAAUAUAGUAUUGAGGGUAGAGGUACCUCUAGUGCUUAUUGCGAGUUUCUUAACUUUCUCGAUAGCGUAAAAGUUAAGCCAAUUUUUGUAUGCAGUUGGAACAGCGCCCCUAACGGUAAACGUACCUACCUACGCAAACGAUCCUAUUUCAUACAAAUAUGAGCCACUUUUACGCUAUCGAGAACGUUAAAAAACUCGCAUUAAAUACCUUGAACUAUGUAUCCUACGGCGUUUUUUUUUUUUGGUUUAAACCGUAUAAUGUUUAGUGGCUUGAGGAGUUUUAUUUUUUAAAACAUUUUAGAAUGUCAAAUGUCGCACAUUAUAAUUUUAAUUGAAUCUACCACUGGAUCGAAACGCGACCCACUGAGAAGAUCCGGCGAGAAACUCAGUGGGCUGUGUCUGAGGGUUCAUUCACAAUGAAAGUCAAUCCCUCAAUCUCAAAAAACGAAUGGCAGAGGAAGAGCAACCACGUGAGGCGUCUCGAAAAUGAAUACGGGCAACGAGAGUUAAUAGAAGAUGAUGAUAAUUUUAGUUUCGUUAUAAACACAGGUAAUAUGUAUAUAUUAUUUUUCUUCCAUAUGUAUGGAAGAAAUAUAGAAGAAAAAGAUGUGUGGUAUCGUGGGACACCAGAUAGGAACGAAGUCACUUAUUGUAAAAAUAUUAAUUUUAAGUUCUAUUCGAGGUAUAAAGAAAAUAAUUAUUCGGGUAUACAUUUUUUAUUAUGAUUUUUUUAUCAAGCCCAAGGUUUCGUAGUUAACGGUUUUCAGGAUACUAACGAAUUAUAAAAAAGAAUGACUCGUAUCGAUGCUAGUGGAAACUGUCGUCGAUAGUUCUAGUUUUAACGAUAAGAUUUUACAGAAUAUUGUCAGAGUUUUCUUAAGGUUCAUAAUUUUCUAUCAGCUGUAGAAAAAUGAUAGUAAUAGUAAUGCUAAUAAUAGUAAUAGUAAAAAUUUCGCGGCAACAACGUUAACUUGAGAACUCACCUAAACUUAAAAUGUUGGUAAAAAAUC